GGAAACUUGGGAAGCAACAAGCUAGUUUGUGUCUUCACUCUUCUUAAACAUUACCUGCGUUCCAGGCUCAACAAAACAAACGAUUAACUCGCUCAGCCUGCGAUGUUCUCCGACUGAAAGCUUUGCUGAUUCACGAGGGCUCGAGGAGCACCUCUAGCUCGGCAGACGUGGCGAUGAGCAGGACAAGAGACAGGUUCCGACUGGCUCUGAGGCGGGCAGUGAUAGCUCCAGUUGACGUCUACAUCUGGCGGCUCCUUUCCACGCGGCAGGGAAGAGGACAAUGACUCAGGCCAGGAACAGAGAAUGUCACCGAGCAGUGACUACGUUUGUGGUCAAAAGCUUGCAACCAUUUGCCACAGUGCUCCUGAUUUUCGACCAUUUGCUCGCUCGCCACAGCGGGGAAACAAAGCGGCG